CUCCUUUUCCCCUUGUCUCGCUACUGCUCCUCCACCUCUCUCCUUCCCUUUCCCCCCUUGCCGCUUCUCCGAGUCCCCAUGCUGCUACUUCUUCUCUGAACCUCUCUCUUAACGCUGUUGCUGCUCUCUCUCUCUCAACCUUCUCUGAACCUGCUGCUGAACCCUACGCCCCUGCUGCCCUUCUUCUCUCCGUGCUGCUUCUACUCCAUCUCCUGGAACCCCUGCUGUUCUUCUUCACAAUCUGAACCUCAACCUCCUACUGCUUCCUCUCCUGCGUCUCCACUGCUGCUCCUUUCCCAACCUUGCUGCUGCUCUCUCUCUCUCUCUCUCUCUCUCUCUUUGAUCUCAAAUUUCUCUAAUCUUGAGAAGUUUAUUGCUCAGUACUCUGUAAUAUUCAAAAUUGAGAUGUUUAGUACAUGUAAUAUUCAGAUUUGAUAAGAGCUUGCAACCUGACAAUUGUUCAGUUUCAUACUUGUAAAAUAUAGUGCAUUUUAUUAUGUGCUCUGACUAGUUUAGUAUGUGUGAUAUGCUCUGUGAUAUAGUAAUCUUCUAGUAUAUGUGUGUGAUCCCCUAUGUGUUUGUUUCUUGACUUGUGAUUGUUUAGUACUACUCAUUUUGUUGAUCUAUGAGCACUAGAAUUAUGUCUUGUAACUCCCCUGUUCGCAUAUGUGUGAUGUGUGUUCUGUAGUCCUUGUGUUAACUAUGUUCAUGCGAGAAUAGACAUGUUUGUGUUGUGAUAUAUUUCUGUCUGUCAUAGUAUUGUUUCUACCCUUUUGUUCACUUUCUCAAAUAAAACAAAAUACCAAAAAGACAGUGAGUAAAAUCUGAAUCUCCCUAUGCUAUUUUGCAUUUUAUUUGGUGACAAUCAUUGAUAGUUUAGGUUUAUUUUCUGUUUCCAUCUCCCAAUAUAGUGUCACCUAGCUUUAGCUGAGCGUAGUCGCUGAUCGCCUAGUCCCUAUGGAGAACAUGACACUCGCAGUUUGGGCGUAAAAACCCCACCAUACUUACACUCGAUCAUUGAUAUAUACCCUGUUAGUGGCAUUACUCUCGUUUGUGAUUAUCAUAGUUACUUUCCUCGUGCUAGUCCUAUGCUUAAUGAAACAUAUCAUUCCCAUGCUAGUCUUGAGCUUAAUGAUAAAUGUCAUCCUCAUGUGAGUGUUGAACUUACUGAUUUCUACCAUCCUAAACAUGUGCUUUAUAGUUAUGCUUAUGUAAUUGGAUACUUGAUUGAUGACUUGGUGUUUAUUAUCCCUACCGCUUGCAUUGUCACUUUUGUGGAGUGUUCUUUCAGGUUUUUGCUUCUGCACCGUUCACUUCAUGCUGACCAGGUUCGAGGUGACAUCCCUUGGGACCCCGGUGGACCCAUGGCAUGGUGAUGAGGAGAAGCAAGGGUGCACAUGAAGAGUGAAGCUGGAGCGUCCAUGAGGAUAGAGAAGCAAAAGGAGAAGAGGUGCAGCUUAGAGAGUGAUCGAGCAAGUGCUACAUCAUCAAAGCCCGGUGAGAUGUUUCAUGACCCAUUUUGAAAUCAUCAUCCAUUGAUGCUUGCUGAAUUGAAUUGCUAUUUGGGUUGCUUGUGCCAUUUCUUAAAUGUUGUCCCACUGAAUUUCACCUUUGACAUAUGGUGCUUGAUGAGAAUAUGUGAACUGAUUGUUGAAUGCCUUGUAAACUAGUGAUCUACACCCUGUUUGCUCUGCUGAAAGUAGUGAAAGCUAUUAGUUUUGAGUGCUCAAAUACCUAGUGCACUAGUAAACUUAAUCAUUUUCUGCUUUUACCUUGAUACACUUAGAUCAUUAAGUGUUAGAUGCUGAGUUUGUGCCUAUUGUGUUCCCAUUGAGAGCAAUCACUUUACCACUAUGGACUAGUAUGCUAUGUUCCCUGGAUCGGUAGCAUGUGAACCAGACAUGGAGUGAUGAUUCCUGUUUUUUGUGCUUAUCUGUUGUUCAUUUAAGAUAAGUAAUAAUGAAUAAAUAAGUCUGACUACCUACAGUAGCAUGUCAUGUUCCCUGGAUCGGUGGCAUGUGAAAUCGGGUUAGCUUGGGCAGUAAUUAAUAAUAAAAAUGUAAUUGUCGAACCAGGUGUAUACCAUGUUCUCUGGAUCGGUGGUAUGUUAGACAAACAAAAAAAACUAAUAAUUGGUCGAGCCGGGUGUAUACCAUGUUCUCGGGAUCGGUGGUAUGUUCCUUUGGUGAGAUCGAUAAAAUAUUAUCAUUGCUUUAUUUCUGUAAAUAAGUGAUCUGAUCACAAGUUCAUGUUCUUUUUGUUCUCGGGAUCAUGCUCUCUUUAGGAACCUUUGGCACAAUCAUCAUUUGAACUAGUUGAUCUUCUUUUAUCAUUGUAAACGUUUAAAAUGGUCAAGUCUACUAGUAUCCUACCGCUUUGAAGCACUCCUAACCAUUAAUUUCACUAGCUAAGUCCAAAGCAUGCACUGUUUAGAGAUCUACUUCACUUGGCAUUCUCUAGUCAGUUUUCUAUUCACUAUCGAGUUCGUGUCAUAUGCCUUUACUUGAGGACAAGUAAAGAUUUAAGUGUGGGGGAACUUGAUAAGCACAUUUCACUUAUAUAAUUUGGCACUCAAAUAUACCAUAUAUUGUGAUCUGACCAUCAAUUCUUGCUAUGAACUGUUGCAUAUUUGAAUGAUAAUCACAAAAAAAGAUCAUUUACUAGUCUAUGGUCUAUUUUGCAGAAAUGUGCGCAAAGGCACUAAUAAUCGUCAAGAUUCUGUCUAUGCGGCUAUCGAGAAGAGUGAAGAAGAGAAGAGAAGAAGAAGAGACCUGUGUGAGAUGAAAAGAAGUAACCAGGGGCUAGAUAAAGAAGUGGGAGGAUCUUGUUGUGUAGAAAGUUGAGAAGAGAAGGGCCAAAGAGUAAAAGUGGCAGAUCAGGGAGGGGAUCAAAAUCCCUAGCGCUGCUCCAUUCCCAAAUCGGGCCUGGCAUAUCUCCAUCUCCCUCACCCCACCUUCUCCACCACCAGCCACCGCCGCGGCCAGGCCGGCGUGGCGCUACCGCGCCAUCACCAGCAUCCACCAGCACCGAUCCAUCUCCACGCCUCUCUCUCUCUCAACCUUCUCUGAACCUGCUGCUGAACCCUACACCUCUGCUGCCCUUAUUCUCUCCGUACUGCUUCUACUCCAUCUCCUAGAACCCCUGCUGUUCUUCUUCACAAUCUGAACCUCAACCUCCUGCUGCUUCCUCUCCCGCGUCUCCACUGCUUCUCCUUUCCCAACCUCUCUCUGAUCUCAAAUUUCUGUAAUCUUGAGAAGUUUAUUGAUCAGUACUUUGUAAUAUUCAAAAUUGAGAUGUUUAGUACAUGUAACAUUCAGAUUUGAUUAGAGCUUGCAACCUGACAAUUGUUCAGUUUCGUACUUGUAAAAUAUAGUGCAUUUUAUUAUGUGCUCUGACUAGUUAAUGUCUA
rnacentral:lncRNA from 1 species